AUGUUUCUGGAGGGGCAAUGGAACAUUCAGGAGCCAGCUAGGGAAGGGAGAAUUCCACGGAAAAUUCAAAAAAGGAGAAACUGUUGGCCAGAGGAGUUUCUGGUCAGUCUCUUACCUAAGACUCUGGAAAGAACUGGGAGAAGCUUGGAUUUAUUAAAAAUAAUGCAGUUUCCCAGAAGCCAUCCAUACUUCCCUCCUCAUCAUGUACAACUGUGGCCCUAUUCAUUACUUUUCAACAAGCAAUUUCUUCAUAUUGGCAAAGAUCAUAAAAACAGAAAAUGACAAAUGCUGAAGGGACUGUGGAAAAAAAGACAUCUUAAGGCAGUAUUAAUGAAUCCACAAACCUUUCUAACCACUUUGGAAAGCAGUUUGGAACAACUCUCUCUACUAGAUCUUCAUCUCCAAGGAGAUCUGAAAUAAAAGGAAUCCAUUUAUACA
rnacentral:lncRNA from 1 species